rnacentral:rRNA from 1 species
CAGGACGAACGCUGGCGGCGUGCCUAACACAUGCAAGUCGAGCGGAGAAUGCGGAUAUGUUUACAUGGAAGCAUCUUAGCGGCGGACGGGUGAGUAACACGUGGGUAACCUGCCUCAAAGAGGGGGAUAGCCUUCCGAAAGGAAGAUUAAUACCGCAUAAGCCUGCAGUACCGCAUGGUACAGCAGGAAAAGGAGCAAUCCGCUUUGAGAUGGACCCGCGGCGCAUUAGCUAGUUGGUGAGGUAACGGCUCACCAAGGCGACGAUGCGUAGCCGACCUGAGAGGGUGAUCGGCCACAUUGGAACUGAGACACGGUCCAGACUCCUACGGGAGGCAGCAGUGGGGAAUAUUGCACAAUGGGCGAAAGCCUGAUGCAAGCAACGCCGCGUGAAUGAUGAAGGCCUUCGGGUCGUAAAGUUCUUUGAUCAGGGAUGAUAAUGACAGUACCUGAAAAACAAGCCACGGCUAACUACGUGCCAGCAGCUGC